rnacentral:rRNA from 1 species
GACGAACGCUGGCGGCGUGCUUAACACAUGCAAGUCGAACGGAAAGGCCCUGCUUUUGUGGGGUGCUCGAGUGGCGAACGGGUGAGUAACACGUGAGUAACCUGCCCUUGUCUUUGGGAUAACUCCAGGAAAAUGGGGCUAAUAUCGGAUAGGAGCUCCUGCAGCAUGGUGGGGGUUGGAAAGUUUCGGCGGUUGGGGAUGGUCUCGCGGCUUAUCAGCUUGUUGGUGGGGUAGUGGCUUACCAAGGCUUUGACGGGUAGCCGGCCUGGGAGGGUGACCGGCCACAUUGGGACUGAGAUACGGCGCAGACGCCUACGGGAGGCAGCAGUGGGGAAUAUGACACAAUGGGCGGAAGCCUGAUGCAGCAACGCCGCGUGCGGGAUAACGGCCUUCUGGUUGUAAACCGCUUUCGCCUGUGACGAAGCGGUAUUGACGGUAAUGGGUAAAGAAGCACCGGCUAACUACGUG